rnacentral:rRNA from 1 species
UACGUAGGGUGCAAGCGUUAAUCGGAAUUACUGGGCGUAAAGCGUGCGCAGGCGGUUUUGUAAGACUGACGUGAAAUCCCCCGGGCUCAACCUGGGAAUGGCGUUGGUGACUGCAAGGCUAGAGUUUGGCAGAGGGGGGUAGAAUUCCACGUGUAGCAGUGAAAUGCGUAGAUAUGUGGAGGAACACCGAUGGCGAAGGCAGCCCCCUGGGUCAAAACUGACGCUCAUGCACGAAAGCGUGGGGAGCAAACAGG